GGUGGCUCAGUGGUAGAGCACUUGCCUUGCAUGCAUGAGGCCCUGAGUUUGAUUCCUCUGCACCA
rnacentral:tRNA from 1 species